AUGGAUAAGGCGCUGGUCUACGAAACCAGAGAUUCUGGGUUCGAUCCCCAGCGGAGUCGAUUCCUUUUUCUUUUUCUUUUGCUCCUGCCGCCAUUUUUUCAUUUUUUUUGCUGGGUGAAGCGGAGAAGACGAGAGGAGAUGGCGGCGAAGGAGGCCGAUGGGGACCACUUCAUCGAGAUGGUGUCGGCGGGUGCGCUUUACCGCGGCGGCGAAUGGGAGCGCAAGUACUGGAGCUGCUCAAGGGGCAAGGAUCGCCACCCGUACCCGGUGGGCUAUCACGCCGUCCGCCAUUUCUCCGGGAUAUCGUACGCCAUGGAGAUCCAGCAAGGACCCAGAGGGCCUGUAUUCCAGGUCACAUCCACCGAGGGAGAUUGCGCGACAGGGCAGACACCGGACAUAGCUUGGAAGAACUUCCAUAAGAAGACAGGGGCCAAAGUCAGGGACUGGCAGAGGGCGGGGAGCUUCCCUCAGAAGAUUGACGGCGUCGAGCUUUUUGGGUUAAAAAAUGCAUCUGUUCAGAGACUGCUUCGUCAGCUUCUAGUAGAUUCGACUGGAUUUGGAAUAGACAUGCCUUCUCCAAAAAUUUAUGGUGCUGCUUCACCGUCGAGCAGAAACCGUGAUAGUACAAAGUCAUGCAGUGAUGACCUGUUUCAGAACAGUUGUCUUUUGCCGUCUGGUAAAAUUUUGGUGGCAGCCGUUGAUUGGUGA
rnacentral:rRNA from 1 species